ACUCGCUCUCACCACCACACGUUCCUCCUCGGCUCAUCACUCCCCCUCUCAUUGUACUCCUGCCCUCUCCUUCCAGAAGAGAGGGAUGAUGCGUCGUCCUUUUCCCUCCUCCUACUCCUCAUUCUGGGGUCUCUGUAUCAAGCGGUUUUGCCAUGUUUUGCUUCUGAGCAGAGCAUUGGAAACUGUUCCUCUUUCUUCGGCAUGGUGGACUUUUAGAUAGGAAGCUAUCAGCAAAUCAGGUCUCUGCACUACCAAAUGUCCUGGUGGGAUGCAAGUCUUCAUGGGACUCCUGCUUUCCUCACAGCACAGCUCGAUUCUCCUUGAAGUUUGAGGACAAUCCAUGAAGAAUCUCUUCAUUCCUUUAGUCUCCAACGUUGUGGAUAUCUGGCUUGGUGUAAAAUGUGUGUUUCUCUGCAUCUGAAGAUUUGACUGUGUGUGAGUGUUCAUGGCAAUCAAUUAGAGUGUAUCUGUAUGUGACAGUUGGUAGAUUUGGAAGACUGAAGAUUUGGCUGUGUGAGAGUGAGAGUGUGUGUGUUGCUCUGUGUGCAGUGCAGUCCCACUCCCCUCGUUCCUGGUUCUUGACUGGAGGGUUUAGCGGACGCUGGAGGGCAACGGAGACCCCACACCUCCUCAUUGGUACUGACUACCCUGAGAGGAGAGGAGGGGAGACAGAGAGAGGGACUGAGAGACAGAGAGAGAGACUGAGAGGUAGGGAGAGGGACUGAGAGAUAGGUAGAACGAAGACAAAAAGAAAGCGUGAGAGAAACAACAAUACGGAUAGCAGGAUAGAAAGAGAGACAAAUGGAGACAUAAAAAGAGAGUGAGAGAGAGUGAGAGAGAGAGAGAGAGAGAGAGAGAGAGAGAGAGAGACUCAUUGUCUCACACCUCUGUAUCCUCUCAUACACACACACUGUGAAAAAGACGACAAGGACACGUAGGCUUAAUCUGUGUGGACCUCCUCUCACCCAUGCUGUCCUCCCCCUCAUUCUCCCCCCUCUCUCACACAUUCAGCAGUAUGAUUUUCUUCACAGCACCUUUUGACUGCUGUUAAUUGCAGCAACAAGAGACAAGAGGAGUGAAUCUGUGUUCUAAUCUCAAACAGUAAUUCAACCAAACUCAACAACAACAAAGAAGAAAGAACAAAUGUGACGACAUCUCUGAAGAGUAAAAACAAUCCACUAUAGGUCCUCUUCCAAACAGUGGACUGACUCAGAGAGCACCAUCGGACUGACUCAGAGAGCACCAUCGGACUGACUCAGAGAGCACCAUCGGACUGACUCAGAGAGCACCAUUGGACUGACUCAGAGAGCACCAUCGGACUGACUCAGAGAGCACCAUCGGACUGACUCAGAGAGCACCAUUGGACUGACUCAGAGAGCACCAUCGGACUGACUCAGAGAGCACCAUCGGACUGACUCAGAGAGCACCAUCGGACUGACUCAGAGAGCACCAUCGGACUGACUCAGAGAGCACCAUCGGACUGACUCAGAGAGCACUAUCAGACUGACUCAGAGAGCACCAUCGGACUGACUCAGAGAGCACCAUCAGACUGACUCAGAGAGCACAUCAGACUGACUCAGAGAGUACCAUUGGACUGCCCAGUAAAGACUGGAGCAAGGCACUAGAGACACUAACAGCCCAGUAAAGACUGGAGCAAGGCACUAGAGACACAUACAGCCCAGUAAAGACUGGAGCAAGACACUAGAGACACAUACAGCCCAGUAAAGACUGGAGCAAGACACUAGAGACACAUACAGCCCAGUAAAGACUGGAGCAAGACACUAGAGACACAUACAGCCCAGUAAAGACUGGAGCAAGACACUAGAG
rnacentral:lncRNA from 1 species